rnacentral:tRNA from 1 species
AAGGGAGACCUAAUUCCGGUAGGAGACGAAAAAAAAGUAGUCCCUACCAAGAAUCAAUCCCAAAAGGUCGAAGCGAGGCAAGAUUGGCUUUCAAACUAGGUUCUGGGUUCAAACAAGACCUGAAUCAGGAACAAGGGCUGUUAGCUCAGGUGGUUAGAGCGCACCCCUGAUAAGGGUGAGGUCCCUGGUUCGAGUCCAGGAUGGCCCACCUGCACAGGUGGCAAAAACAAAGAAGCGAGGAAUCAGCACCUUAUCUUACUCAUAUAGUAAGAGAGAAUGCUGGCUCUGAGUAAAGAGUCCAGAGGAACCUUGAAAACUGCAUAGAGCUAGGUGAAAAAGCCAAAAAAGAAGACCGCAA